rnacentral:rRNA from 1 species
UACGUAGGGCGCAAGCGUUGUCCGGAAUUUAUUGGGCGUAAAGAGCUCGUAGGCGGCUUGUCACGUCGGAUGUGAAAGCCCGGGGCUUAAACCCCGGGUCUGCAUUCGAUACGGGCUAGCUAGAGUGUGGUAGGGGAGAUCGAAUUCCUGGUGUAGCGGUGAAAUGCGCAGAUAUCAGGAGGAACACCGGUGGCGAAGGCGGAUCUCUGGGCCAUUACUGACGCUGAGGAGCGAAAGCGUGGGGAGCGAACAGG